rnacentral:rRNA from 1 species
UACAGAGGGUGCAAGCGUUGUUCGGAAUUAUUGGGCGUAAAGCGCGUGUAGGCGGCUUUGCAAGUCGGGUGUGAAAGCCCCCAGCUUAACUGGGGAAGUGCGCUCGAAACUGCAGAGCUUGAGUACCGGAGAGGAUGGCGGAAUUCCCCAAGUAGAGGUGAAAUUCGUAGAUAUCGGGAGGAACACCAGUGGCGAAGGCGGCGAUCUGGACAGAUAUUGACGCUGAGGUGCGAAAGCGUGGGGAGCAAACAGG